GGAAGGGUGGCCGAGUGGUUGAAGGCGACGGUCUUGAAAACCGUUAGGGGUGCAAGCUCCUCGUGGGUUCGAAUCCCACCCCUUCCGCCA
rnacentral:tRNA from 1 species